rnacentral:rRNA from 1 species
CCGGCGCACGGGUGAGUAACGCGUAUCCAACCUGCCUUACACUCUUGGACAGCCUUCUGAAAGGGAGAUUAAUACAAGAUGUUAUCAUGAGUCCGCAUGUUCACAUGAUUAAAGGUGUUCCGGUAGACGAUGGGGAUGCGUUCCAUUAGAUAGUAGGCGGGGUAACGGCCCACCUAGUCUUCGAUGGAUAGGGGUUCUGAGAGGAAGGUCCCCCACAUUGGAACUGAGACACGGUCCAA